GCAAUUUCUAAUAAUGACACUGUUCUUCAAAUACAUAUGUCUUAGUCAUUCCAAUUAAAAGGUAGAAAAUAGAUGCUGCAUUUUGUGGUAUUUAUUUGCCAGUACUGAACAUCUAUUCCUAAAAUUAUAGGAACUGUUACUGAGAAAUCAUAUUCCUAGAGGAAUUUUGCAUAUGAUUGCUUAAAAUGAAGGCUACAUGGCUGAUGUUAACAGAUGCUGUAGAAUUUGAGUCAAUGGAUGUUUGCCGAUUCUUAAAAACUUUUAUAAAUACAUCAUCCAGAAUUGAUUCUAGAAGAAAUGUGAGCCAUGUACUAAGAGUUCUGCAUUGACAUCAUUCAAACUGAAAAGAAACUCAUAGUUCAUACUGCUGAGUAAAUAGUUAUUGAUUUAGCAUAGUAUGAACAUUCCAAUCCUUUUUCAUUGAAGUCCUGGAAGCAAAUAAAUAUAUAAAUAUGUAUUUUUGCA
rnacentral:lncRNA from 1 species